rnacentral:tRNA from 1 species
CGCGGGGUAGAGCAGAUGGUAGCUCGCCAGGGUGGAUCGCCACUCCGAUCAUAACCUGGAGGCCGUUGGUUCGAGUCCAGCCCCCGCGACAA